UACGGAGGAUGCAAGCGUUAUCCGGAAUUAUUGGGCGUAAAGCGUCCGUAGGUGGUUGAGCAAGUCUGUUGUCAAAGCGUGCUGCUUAACGGCAUAACGGCGAUGGAAACUGCUGAGCUAGAGGCCGUUAGGGGUCAGGGGAAUUCCCAGUGUAGCGGUGAAAUGCGUAGAUAUUGGGAAAAACACCAGCGGCGAAAGCGCCUGACUGGGCCGGAACUGACACUGAUGGACGAAAGCUAGGGGAGCGAAAGGG
rnacentral:rRNA from 1 species